UUUAUUGAGGAUUUGAUCCUGGUCCAGGAUGAACGCUGGCGGCGUGGAUAAGGCAUGCAAGUCGAGCGAAAUAUUUUUUGAAGAAGUUGCGAUUACAUCAAGACGACAGAUUAAAAUGUUUAGCGGCAAACGAGUUAGUAACGCCUUGGAAUGUACCCCCGAGACGGGGAUAACGAGCCGAAAGGUUCGCUAAUACCCGAUAGUCUCGAAAGAGUAAAGACGCAAGUCACUUGGGGAGCAGCCUAGGUCCUAUCAGCUAGUUGGCGGGGUAAAGGCCCACCAAGGCUAUGACGGGUAGGGGGUGUGAGAGCAUGACCCCCAACGAUGGAACUGAGAACGGUCCAUACACCUACGGGUGGCCGCAGUCGAGAAUAUUCGACAAUGGGCGAAAGCCUGAUCGAGCGACGCCGCGUGCAGGAAGAAGGGCUUCGGUCUGUAAACUGCUUUUCCGAGGGAGGAACGCAAGUGACUGUACCUCGGGAAUAAGAAGCUGCAAACUUCGUGCCAGCAGCCGCGGUAAUACGAAGGCUUCAAGCGUUAUCCGGAUUUAUUGGGCGUAAAGGGCCUCCAGGUGGUUUUGUUAGUCGGGCGUUAAAUC
rnacentral:ncRNA from 1 species